rnacentral:tRNA from 1 species
GCCCUUGUAGCUCAACGGUUAGAGCAGCGGACUCAUAAUCCGUUGGUUGUAGGUUCGAAUCCUACCGAGGGCA